rnacentral:rRNA from 1 species
UGCGUAGGCGGAUUGAUAAGUCAGCGAUGAAAACCUUCAGCUUAACUGGAGACUUGCCAUUGAUACUGUUAGUCUUGAGUACGGUCAAGGUAGGCGGAAUGUGUAAUGUAGCGGUGAAAUGCUUAGAUAUUACACAGAACACCGAUUGCGAAGGCAGCUUACUGGGCCAUUACUGACGCUGAGGCACGAAAGCGUGGGGAGCGAACAGGAUUAGAUACCCUGGUAGUCC